AGAGUUUGAUCAUGGCUCAGAACGAACGCUGGCGGCGUGGAUAAGACAUGCAAGUCGGACGAGACUUUUCGUUGUAGCAAUACGAUGGAAAGUUUAGUGGCGAACGGGUGCUUAACACGUGGGCAACCUGCCAUGAAGUGGGGGAUAGCUCGUCGAAAGGCGAAUUAAUACCGCAUGUGAUUAGAGUGGACAUCCAUUCAAAAUUAAAGUCGGGGCAACCUGACGCUUCUUGUGGGGCCCGCGGCCUAUCAGCUAGUUGGUGAGGUAACGGCCCACCAAGGCUUUGACGGGUAGCUGGUCUGAGAGGACGACCAGCCACACUGGGACUGAGACACGGCCCAGACACCUACGGGUGGCAGCAGUCGAGAAUUUUUGACAAUGGGGGAAACCCUGAUCGAGCGACGCCGCGUGGAGGAUGAAGGUCUUCGGAUUGUAAACUCCUGUCAUUGGGGAACAAUGCACAGAUAUUAACUGUAUUUGUGUUGAUAGUACCCGAAGAGGAAGGGACGGCUAACUCUGUGCCAGCAGCCGCGGUAAUACAGAGGUCCCAAGCGUUGUUCGGAUUCAUUGGGCGUAAAGGGUGCGUAGGCGGCGCGGUAAGUCGGGUGUGAAAUCUCGGGGCUUAACUCCGAAACUGCAUUCGAUACUGCCGUGCUUGAGGACUGGAGAGGAGACUGGAAUUUACGGUGUAGCGGUGAAAUGCGUAGAUAUCGUAAGGAAGACCAGUGGCGAAGGCGGGUCUCUGGACAGUUCCUGACGCUGAGGCACGAAGGUCAGGGGAGCAAACGGGAUUAGAUACCCCCGUAGUCC
rnacentral:rRNA from 1 species